rnacentral:rRNA from 1 species
AUUGAACGCUGGCGGCGUGCUUAACACAUGCAAGUCGAGCGGUAACAGGCGUAGCAAUACGUGCUGACGAGCGGCGAACGGGUGCGUAAUACAUGGGAAUCUGCCUAGUAGUGGGGAAUAACCCGGCGAAAGCCGGGCUAAUGCCGCAUACGAUCCACGGAUGAAAGCGGGGGACCUUCGGGCCUCGCGCUAUUGGAUGAGCCCAUGUCGGAUUAGCUAGUUGGGAGGUAACGGCCCGCCAAGGCGACGAUCCGUAGCUGGUCUGAGAGGAUGAUCAGCCACACUGGGACUGAGACACGGCCCAGACUCCUACGGGAGGCAGCAGUGGGGAAUCUUGGACAAUGGGCGCAAGCCUGAUCCAGCCAUGCCGCGUGGGUGAAGAAGGCCU